UCGACAGUACACCCGGGGCACGCGGGAGCCCCUGUCAGGAUUUAGUGGAUGAGUGACUUGAGCCCAACGCCCACACAAUAAUGUAGCCUACAGGGGUGCCUUGGACUCAAUUAGGCCUACGUCAGAGAGUCAGAGAGGUCUUUUGACGGGAGAACAUGUGGGAUUGUUGUAAAUAGCCUGCCUGCCGAGCGCGCGCWGUCAGUGGUGCUGAACUCUUCAGACCACAGCCACCAGAGUUAAAGAACAUCUCAGUUUGUUCGCUCCUUUCACUGGACUUUAUUAUUUCAUCCAGAUGGGCGUUAUGCAAAAAUGCCAAAAUGAAAGGGCUUGUGUCAUUUUUUACUGCUCUGCUUGAAGGGAAGAAARGGGGCUUCAGCAACUUCCUGCACAAACUGGUGUCCGACCACCAAAUCUUUCAGCACCUGGACGCCCAGACCAUCCUGCUGCAGGAGAGCCUGAGAGAGGAGAGGGAGAGAGAGGAGAGAGAAGAGAGGGAGGAGAGGGAAAGAGAGGAGAGAGA